UACGUAGGGGGCUAGCGUUGUCCGGAAUCAUUGGGCGUAAAGAGCGUGUAGGCGGCCCGGUAAGUCCGCUGUGAAAGUCGGGGGCUCAACCCUCGAAUGCCGGUGGAUACUGUCGGGCUAGAGUGCGGAAGAGGCGAGUGGAAUUCCUGGUGUAGCGGUGAAAUGCGCAGAUAUCGGGAGGAACACCAAUGGCGAAGGCAGCUCGCUGGGACGUUACUGACGCUGAGACGCGAAAGCGUGGGGAGCAAACAGG
rnacentral:rRNA from 1 species